GAUGAACGCUGGCGGCGUGCCUAAUACAUGCAAGUCGAGCGAAUGGAUUAAGAGCUUGCUCUUAUGAAGUUAGCGGCGGACGGGUGAGUAACACGUGGGUAACCUGCCCAUAAGACUGGGAUAACUCCGGGAAACCGGGGCUAAUACCGGAUAAUAUUUUGAACUGCAUGGUUCAAAAUUGAAAGGCGGCUUCGGCUGUCACUUGUGGAUGGACCCGCGUCGCAUUAGGUAGUUGGUGAGGUAACGGCUCACCAAGGCAACGAUGCGUAGCCGACCUGAGAGGGUGAUCGGCCACACUGGGACUGAGACACGGCCCAGACUCCUACGGGAGGCGGCAGUAGGGAAUCUUCCGCAAUGGACGAAAGUCUGACGGAGCAACGCCGCGUGAGUGAUGAAGGCUUUCGGGUCGUAAAACUCUGUUGUUAGGGAAGAACAAGUGCUAGUUGAAUAAGCUGGCACCUCGACGGUACCUAACCAGAAAGCCACGGCUAACUACGUGCCAGCAGCCGCGGUAA
rnacentral:rRNA from 1 species